UUUAGCUAGAAUCUUUGUCAUUGGUUAAACUGAGGAAAAUAUUUGAGUUUUAUAUUUUGAUGUCUUCCUUUUGUGUACAUCUCCAUAGGGUUAUACUACAUACUUGGCAAAUACAAGUGACUAUGUUGAAGCCAAAAAUAAGAAUAAAUAAGUGAGUGCAUGCCAAUCAGUAGGAUAGAUAAAGUGGCAAAGCACAAUUCAGAUACAUUAUUCUUCUGCCAGCAGAACAAUUGAGCAUACUGUCACCAGAACCUUUAUCUGUCGUUAAUGCUAACAUGUCCCUUAAAACAAGUGAUUUUCAUGAUUUGUGAUACAAUCUAUACUCAGAAGAAUAAUUUUUUGCUUAUAAGUUACAGUCAGUAUUAUGUCUGUAUUUUCUAAGUCCUCAGUUCAGUCUCAGAUUUGUUGUAUUCAGCUUCAUAAACAAAUUUGGAUACUUCAGUGUUUGCUUAUGUCAGGGAGAAACACUUGUCUGUUGUGGUAGAAUUUAACAUUUCAUUCUGGUCACAGAUAUUUUUUUUAAUACUUUCUAUAUUAACAAUAGUACCCAUCUUGCUGUUUUUUUAACAAAAAAUACCUUGGAAAGGAUCUCAAAAGGCCCUGUAAUCAGUUCUGAAGCAGAAUGAAGUGCAUAGCAGUAGUGGGUCACAGAGUCUAGUCUUGGUGAUACUAGAAAACUUCCGCUGAACCCAAUUAAUGGAAGACUAACCAUACUGGAUCAAGGUCUCUCUGCCCAGGCACUUGUUAUCCAAUUGCUGUCUACAGCAAACUAGAGAACACCUGUAGGGAAGAUGACUUUCCCUCAGUUAAGAGUAUCCUUUCUGUUUCUUAAGAUCUUGAUCUAAAAUGUGCAAAAUGACUCAACACCAGACAACUUUAAUAGUCAAAUCUUGUAUUUGUGGUCUCAUUUCCGUUACUGAGUGUCACUAUAAAUGAUGCAGAAUACAUUUUACUAUCUGAAAUAUUCUUCUUGUAGUUCUAUCCAUAUUUGGAAACAUUGUACGUUGUAUAUUAAAGUGUGCUCUUAUGCUUCCACAUCACUUUUUAGCUCUCAAGAUGUUAGAAGUAACGCAAGUAAAGUCUGGGAGAGAAGACUUCACUGCCUAAGAAGAGAAGGAAGGGUUUUUUCAUGUUGAUGAAGGCCAUCCUCUGAAGCACAGACUGAAAGUCAAAGUGAUUUGUUGUAAGAAAUUUGCUGCUGCUGCUGCUAUGGUUGAUUGGAAAAGAAUGAUAUCAAGAGGUGUUCAUUUAAGACUCUUUCACAUAAAGGCAGGUAGACACUUGUGUAGCGCAGCAGCUGAUGUUGUGCAAGUGAGAGAAACUUCCAUCAAAACCUGUGGCUCAGCGACUUCUGAACAACAUAGGAACCAAAGAAUAAUGGAUAGAGAAGAGAGAUGCAGCUUUCUCCCACUUUUGGUUUUUAUAACUGAAGAGGAUUGAGAAGACAUCUCUCUGAAGAUAUUGCAUGUUGUUCAGGCCAUCAGGUGAGUAUGAUUUUGCAAGUUAGGGAAAUCAGCCCUAUUUUUGUGAGUGUUGUCUGCAUCCUAACCUAAGAAAUAAAUAAAAGCUGUGUUUAUUGUUUCCUGGGGUUCUAGGCAUGAGAAAAUACCCUUGGUGAUCUUUUAAAAGGAGUGUUGAUGAUGUGACUACUUGUCAGCUCUGUUUAUUCUGUGUUGGGCCAGCUUCUGUGGCAAUACUGCUUGAUACAUUUGUUAUGUGUAGAGCUGGAAACAAAAGCAAGAAAGGAGAUGGCUCCUGAGCCCAUUUAGAGGUGGGCUUUACCUUCCAGGGGUAAAAUAUUUCCUUCAAAAUAUUAUUUGUGUCUAUUUUAAUAUGCAUAUAUGUAUCUCAAAAUAAUGUAUAUUUAAAGCAUAAUAAAUAAUGGUCUAAAA